UAAUACAGAGGGUGCGAGCGUUAAUCGGAAUUACUGGGCGUAAAGGGCGCGUAGGCGGUACCAUGAGUGUGAUGUGAAAGCCCCGGGCUUAACCUGGGAAGUGCAUCGCAAACUAUGGAACUGGAGUAUAUGAGAGGGUGGCGGAAUUUCCGGUGUAGCGGUGAAAUGCGUAGAGAUCGGAAGGAACGUCGAUGGCGAAGGCAGCCACCUGGCAUAAUACUGACGCUGAGGCGCGAAAGCGUGGGUAGCGAACAGGAUUAGAUACCCUGGUAGUCCACGCUGUAAACGAUGAGGACUAGAUGUUGCUAGGGGAACCUAGCAGUAUCGAAGCUAACGCGAUAAGUCUUCCGCCUGGGAAGUACGGCCGCAAGGUUG
rnacentral:rRNA from 1 species